UUUUGUGAGUUAAAACUAAGUCGUUUUUAUAUUGUUGAUGAUAUUUCAAACAUGUCUGAGUUCUAACCAUCUUCGCCGCCGACAUUCUACUCCGACCAAUCCAAACAUUUCCGAUCGUUUCACUCUUCUCCGACUCUCUUUCCAUAUCUCUUAACCUCUUUUUCCUCACUAACUAUUAGC
rnacentral:sRNA from 1 species